UACAUUUCCAAGAGUAAAAAAGCAGUAUCACAAGUUACCAAGCAGAAAGGAAAAUGGAGCUAACAAAACCCAAACACUAAGAAGAAUCCAAAUCCUUCAAAUAGAGGGAGCAAGGGAAUAAUUCUCUACAGGGCACCAGUGGGUAGGCCUCCAUAGGAAAAAAAUAUAGACAAAUAUUAAAGCCACAAUCCUCUGCAGGACAUCAUGGAAAGGAUAUAUUUCCAGGAGAACCCCAUAUGGCAUCUUCCAGCUCCCAGGUUGAGAACACAUUUGUCUCAGGCCAUUUUAACACAGCAGUCAAGAAAGACAAGGAAGUACCAGAGAGUCCAUCAGAGGGCUAUAGAGAUGAUCAGGUGUCUCCAGGUUGGGCUUGGUUAGCAUUUUGCAUGUAAAUUACCCUCUGUCUGUACACUUUUUGAGGUAACACUGAUGGUCUUGCUGUUUGUUUUCUUAUCUCAU
rnacentral:lncRNA from 1 species